AUGAAGAAGCUGUACCAGGGGAAGGGCCGGCGGGUGCACCCGGCGCCGGCGCCGGGGCCGGACGCGCCCGCGGUGGCGCUCGCCAUGCUGCCCGCCACCCUGCUGGCGCUCGUGGCCGCGCUCACCGCCGAGGAGCAGGAGGUGCUCGCCUACCUGCUCUCUGGAGGAGCUGGCGGCGCGGCGGCGGGUGCUGGCGGGGGCCGGUGCAGGCGGCUCAACGGGCCGCACCAGCCGGAGAUGGGCUGCGGCUGCUUCGGCUGCUACAAGAGCUUCUGGGCCCGCUGGGACGCCUCCCCCAACCGCCACCUCAUCCACCGCAUCAUCGACGCCGUCGAGGAGGGCAACGGCGGCGGAGGCGAGGGGGCAGCCAAAGGAGCUGGAGGACCAGGCGGCGCCACGCGCCGCGGCCACCGCCGCCGCCGCCGUGGCCGCGGCGGGCCGUGCGCCAUCGACGCCGCCGUCGAGGAGCACGGAGCCGCGGAGGCUCAGGCCGGGUGCGCGGAUGACCACCUGCAACCGCAAGGCUGCUGCGCGUCGGACGGCGGCGAGGACGGCGACUACGAGGGCGACGAGGACGACGGCGCGGACAGCCUCUACGGCGGCGAGGAGGCCCUGACGGACGACAGCGACUGCGCGGGCGCCAGCAACUCCGCCGAGAAGAGCGCCGUGGGCAAGCUGGUGCGCUUCAUCGGCGAGAAGGUGUGGGCCGCCUGGACCUGA
rnacentral:rRNA from 1 species